UUGGUUUAAUUUCGAUGCAACGCGAAGAACCUUACCACUUCUUGACAUGGAGAUUAGAUCCUUCUUAACAGAAGGGCGCAGUUCGGCUGGAUCUCGCACAGGUGCUGCAUGGCUGUCGUCAGCUCGUGUCGUGAGAUGUUGGGUUAAGUCCCGCAACGAGCGUAACCCUCAUCCUUAGUUGCCAGCGGGUUAAGCCGGGCACUUUAAGGAGACUGCCAGUGGUAAACUGGAGGAAGGUGGGGAUGAUGUCAAGUCAGCACGGCCCUUAUGGGGUGGGCUACACACGUGCUACAAUGGUGACUACAAUAGGUUGCAAUGUCGCAAGGCUGAGCUAAUCCGUAAAAGUCAUCUCAGUUCGGAUUGUCCUCUGCAACUCGAGGGCAUGAAGUCGGAAUCGCUAGUAAUCGUGGAUCAGCAUGCCACAGAUGAAUAC
rnacentral:rRNA from 1 species